rnacentral:rRNA from 1 species
AACGAACGCUGGCGGCAGGCCUAACACAUGCAAGUCGAACGCCCCGCAAGGGGAGUGGCAGACGGGUGAGUAACACGUGGGAACCUUCCCUAUAGUACGGAAUAGCCCAGGGAAACUUGGAGUAAUACCGUAUACGCCCGAAAGGGGAAAGAAUUUCGCUAUAGGAUGGGCCCGCGUAGGAUUAGCUAGUUGGUGAGGUAAUGGCUCACCAAGGCGACGAUCCUUAGCUGGUUUGAGAGAACGACCAGCCACACUGGGACUGAGACACGGCCCAGACUCCUACGGGAGGCAGCAGUGGGGAAUAUUGGACAAUGGGCGCAAGCCUGAUCCAGCCAUGCCGCGUGAAUGAUGAAGGCCUUAGGGUUGUAAAGCUCUUUUGGCGGGGACGAUAAUGACGGUACCCGCAGAAUAAGUCCCGGCUAACUUCGUG